rnacentral:rRNA from 1 species
ACGGGUGAGUAACGCGUGGGAACGUGCCUUCUGGUUCGGAAUAACCCUGGGAAACUAGGGCUAAUACCGGAUACGCCCUUUUGGGGAAAGGUUUACUGCCGGAAGAUCGGCCCGCGUCUGAUUAGCUAGUUGGUGGGGUAACGGCCUACCAAGGCGACGAUCAGUAGCUGGUCUGAGAGGAUGAUCAGCCACACUGGGACUGAGACACGGCCCAGACUCCUACGGGAGGCAGCAGUGGGGAAUAUUGGACAAUGGGCGCAAGCCUGAUCCAGCCAUGCCGCGUGAGUGAUGAAGGCCUUAGGGUUGUAAAGCUCUUUUAUCCGGGACGAUAAUGACGGUACCGGAGGAAUAAGCCCCGGCUAACUUCGUGCCAGCAGCCGCGGUAAUACGAAGGGGGCUAGCGUUGCUCGGAAUCACUGGGCGUAAAGGGCGCGUAGGCGGCGUUUUAAGUCGGGGGUGAAAGCCUGUGGCUCAACCACAGAAUGGCCUUCGAUACUGGGACGCUUGAGUAUGGUAGAGGUUGGUGGAACUGCGAGUGUAGAGGUGAAAUUCGUAGA